AGUUUAGGCACGGCUGGAGGCCAAGGUCAAGUUGAAAGUUGCAGUCUAGCCAAGGCG
rnacentral:sRNA from 1 species